UACAGAGGUCUCAAGCGUUGUUCGGAUUCAUUGGGCAUAAAGGGCGUGUAGGUGGCGCGCUAAGUCGGGUGUGAAAUUUCGGAGCUUAACUCCGAAACUGCAUUCGAUACUGGCGUGCUUGAGGACUGGAGAGGAGACUGGAAUUCAUGGUGUAGCAGUGAAAUGCGUAGAGAUCAUGAGGAAGACCAGUGGCGAAGGCGGGUCUCUGGACAGUUCCUGACGCUGAGGCACGAAGGCCAGGGGAGCAAACGGG
rnacentral:rRNA from 1 species